UCCUGACCCUGGGAUCGAACCCAUGUCUCCUGCAUUGGCAGGCGGAUUCUUUACCCCUGAGUCACCAGGGACGCCCUGUCUGUGAAUUUCGAUAUCACUUUCUCUCUCUAGUCUGACUACUCCUCUUUCCUGAGUCUCACAUUCCUAAUUCCAGGUGGGACAUCUCUACCCAGCUGCACCUUAUGUGCCUCCCACCUUCGGUGACCACCACCCCUCCCUUGGGCUCCCAAGUCUGGAAACUCUAGAUUAUCUCAGAUUCUUCCCACUUCCUCUUCUGCUCCCACAGGUAGGCAGUCACCCCUGAAAGGCCUUUCCAAGGAUUUUCCCCUCCUUUCCCUGGUUCUGGCCUUCAUCAGCUCUGCUUUGGACCAAGAUGUGCCAGCGUUCAUCCCUCCUCCUUUCAGCAGGAGGUCGGCAUUUGCCCUCUUGAUUUGCCUAGUUGUUCCAAUACUUUGGCCACCUGUGGAGAAGAGCUGAUUCACUGGAAAAGACCCUGAUGCUGGGAAAGAUUGAGGGCAAGAGGAGAAGAGUGUGACAGAGGAUGAGAUGGUUGGAUGGGAUCAUUGACUCAAUGGACAUGAGUUUGAGCAAGCUCCAGGAGAUGGAGAAGGACAGGGAAGCCUGGUAGACUGCAGUCCAUGGGGUCGCAAAGAGUCAGACACGACUUAGCAACUGGAUGACAAGUUCUUCCUAAAAUGUCUUUCAUAGUCGGUUUGUUCAGGCAAAGAUUCAGUCAAAGACCAAGCAUCAUGCUUGGUGUUUUGGUAGCUAAAGUUUCUGAAUUGUGACUGCAGACCGGCUCUCUGCCCACCAUCUGUCACCAGAGCCUUCCCCAGGCCUGUGAGCCAGCCAACCCCAAUAUGCCAUGCGGGGUCUUUCGUGCCCGUGCCCAGGCACUGGAAGGACUUUGUUUUUUAAACUGAUUUAUUUUUGGC